rnacentral:rRNA from 1 species
CCUACGGGAGGCUGCAGUGAGGGAUAUUGGUCAAUGGGGGAAACCCUGAACCAGCAACGCCGCGUGAGGGAAGACGGUUUUCGGAUUGUAAACCUCUGUCCUCUGUGAAGAUAAUGACGGUAGCAGAGGAGGAAGCUCCGGCUAACUACGUGCCAGCAGCCGCGGUAAUACGUAGGGAGCAAGCGUUGUCCGGAUUUACUGGGUGUAAGGGGUGCGUAGGCGGGGAUGCAAGUUGGGUGUUAAAUCUACCGGCUCAACUGGUAGUCGCACUCAAAACUGCAGCUCUUGAGUGAAGUAGAGGCAGGCGGAAUUCCUAGUGUAGCGGUGAAAUGCGUAGAUAUUAGGAGGAACACCAGUGGCGAAGGCGGCCUGCUGGGCUUUUACUGACGCUGAGGCUCGAAAGUGUGGGGAGCAAACAGGAUUAGAUACCCCUGUAGUC